AAAAAAAUUAAUCUUAAAAUAUUUUUUAAAACUGCUGCUGUGUCCGCAGCGUUUGCUCUACAGGUAUGAUUUUACCCUCAAAACGUAGCCAUCGCUGUCCUCUUUCAUCCAAUGUGUUUACUAUUGUACUAGGUGUUAUGGUUCUUUCAUAAAUGUCACCAAAGCACAGCCUCCUCCCUCCAACUCCUCCAUAGACUCUAAUGUUAAAAUGGCUCAGAAGGUUCGUUUGAAAAUCAGAAGAGCAUGGUGUUUUUACACUGUCACCACGUCCAUAUAAUAAACUCCACAGGCAUGAAAACUGAGAAUUAGGUAGACUAGACAUUGCUGCCGCUCACGGUGAAAGAAUUUUGUCAAUACGACAUGUACUUUUCAUUUGGGAAGGAUUUGUUUU
ensembl:lncRNA